UACGUAGGGGGCAAGCGUUGUCCGGAAUCAUUGGGCGUAAAGCGCGUGUAGGCGGCUCGAUAAGUCUGCUGUAAAAGUCCAGGGCUCAACCCUGGAAAGCCGGUGGAAACUGUCGAGCUAGAGUCCGGAAGAGGCGAGUGGAAUUCCUGGUGUAGCGGUGAAAUGCGCAGAUAUCAGGAGGAGCACCAAUGGCGAAGGCAGCUCGCUGGGACGGUACUGACGCUGAGACGCGAAAGCGUGGGGAGCAAACAGG
rnacentral:rRNA from 1 species